CCUACGGGAGGCAGCAGUGAGGAAUUUUGCACAAUGGGGGCAACCCUGAUGCAGCGACGCCGCGUGAGUGAUGAAGGCUUUCGAGUCGUAAAACUCUGUCAAUAGGGAAGAAAUGUGUAUUGGUUAAUACCCCGUACACUUGACGGUACCUAUAAAGGAAGCACCGGCUAAAUCCGUGCCAGCAGCCGCGGUAAU
rnacentral:rRNA from 1 species